GAUUUCCAAGUUGAGAUUGAGGUUUUACACAUGAGAACAACUAACUGGACCAUCUCUGUAUUCUGCAACUUUUACUGUCUUUUGAAAAAAAAAAAUGAACUAACAGACUUAAUUUAAGUGAUACCAUAAGAAGGAUAUGGUGAGAAGAAGGAAUCAUGAGACAGGUGAGGGGGACCAUCUGGCAGGGCACAUCAGACCUGACUCAUCUCCACUUCCCAUCAGUACCUUGACGCCGUGCCACCGCUCAAUGCCAACACCUUCCCAGCUGGGAAAAGCGCCGCUCGGAUGUACUUCCCCACUUUAUGCAAACCUUUCCCUGGGUUUAGGGUGCAGAAUGGACAUGCGUACUCUAGGUUUCAGAAGGAAGAGUUGGCUGUGGGUUCCUCUCUGCAAAUGUCCUAAAAAUAUCCUGCCAUCUUGCACCACUCUCAAGAUCACAUUUCACAAUGGACUUGUAUACCCAGGAACAUUUAAGCAAUUGUUUGGUUCAGUUCUUUCAAAGGAAUAGAUAAAUCAUCAUAUUAUACGAUGAGAGAGGAAAUGACAGUUUUUAUCUUGUAUUCAGGUAGCCUAAAUUUACAUGAGACCACAAAAAGUUCCUGACAGGAUGUUAUUGAUUGCAUUUACCCUGUCAGGGCUUGAGCUGGGUCUUCCUGCCACAUCACAGACCACCCUCUUCCUUCCAUGCCUGAAAAUCAAAUCCCAGAUCUUCUGACUCUCCCAUGAAAGUGGAUUUUUGGAAAUAGGAAUUUCAGUUCUUCUGGCAGAUUUUCCAUUAAUUAUCUCCUAAUUCAGCUCUUUGCUCUCUGUGUCAGUUAGUGACAAUAUCCCCUCUUGCUGGAUGCCUUGAAUGACAGUGCCAAGGAACUAAGAUCAAAUGUUCAUUGUAAGGACUGAGGUUACUGAGUACCAGGCCUCCUUAUAAACGAUUUAUUUAUAUCAGCUCAUACAACCUCAGAACAACCAUAUCAGGGAGGGGCUAUUUUUAUCUUCAUUUUACAGGUGAAGAACCUGAGACACUGACUUGGAUUUACCUAAGGUAAAGACAGGCAGGUCUGCCUUCCUUUCUUUCCUUCCUUCUAUGCAAGCCAAAUAUACUAAUUGAACCCUUAGUGUGCCCUAUUCAGGGACCAGAGAAGGCAGUGGACAAAGCAGACAAGGUCUCUGUCCUUCUUGAGCUGAACCACUAUCCUAUGCUGCUCCAAAUCGCACUAGUUUUCCCAGACUAGUUUGCUUACCUUUCUAAAUGAUAAUUUCAACUCUCUUUCCAUUUCGAUACACUUAAGUAAUUACAAAAUUCAAAGUUUUAUAUUUGAGCUAAUAAUGUUCCUGCUUUGACACCUUUUGUGCCAAUUGUCAAUGCCUAUCUUUAUUAUGUACCUUAGGGAACUUGGUGCACACUCUUGUGGGUGAUCACAAAUUCAGUCUGUUAUUUUCUAGACUAUGUUGCUAUGAGAGAAAGAGAUAGAGAAAGAGAGAGAGAGACAGGCAGACAGAGAGACUCAUCAACAGACGAACAAUGCCUGGGGACUUGUUGGACCCACUUCAAAAAGGGAUCUUGUUUUUCCUGAUAAAAACAUUAAAAAACAAACCAGUUUAGUUUUCAACAAAAAUGGUCAUAAAGUCAAUUUAGGAUUUCCUGAAUGAAUUUUGCAGUUUGGGAGUAGAGUAUUCAACCCCCCAAACCAUGAAUCAUCUAAGUUUGGAAAUCAGCCAUAUUUUAUUAACAUUCACCCACAGGGAAAGUUUUUAGAUAUCUUAACUGCAAUCAGUUAAGCUCCUUGUUUCUUUCCUCUUCAACUUUCUCACUGUUUCAUUUCUGUCCAUGUGAGGUAAUAUAGGGGCAGCCAUGGGUUUGGUUGGUUGGUUUUAAAUCUGACUUAGAGAAAGUACAGUUGGGGAUACCUUAUAUGGAUAUAAUGGGAUAUAUUUCUGUUCUUUGGGUUUCUGCCAUGUUAUUGAUAGUUAACCUGGUACAGGCAUAUCUUCCAGGAAGAUUUUUAUUGUCCACUGUGCCAACUCACCUGGUAUGAUGCAAAGAUUUGGGGGACAUAUCUUAAUAUUGAUGUGUUUGAGCGUUUCCAGCACUGGAAAUAUGUGGAUUGAAGGAAAUGUUUGAAAUACACAGAGAGGAAAGCCAGUCUGUGUAUCAUUCUUCCAAAUCUUAUAGCUUACAUAUAGCAGAAACUAAAGAGAGAUUUUUCCAAAGCUGACAAUAAUCCCCAAAAUGCAGAUGACAUUAUCAUCAAUAACAAAACAGAUUUCAAUAAACUAUGUUAGAAGACAUUUAUCUUUCUGUUUUCUCUGUUAAAAAGUGUAAUUACUGUCAUGUAAAGAGUAUGCAGUCAAAAUGUAAGAAAAAAUACUACAUAGGUAUUCCUGGCAGUGAAUUAACAAAAAUAUUGUGUUAUCAUUUUGGAUUCUGUUAUGUUUGUAAUAUUUGUCAGCUUCCAAAGUUUUAAAGUAUAAUUUGUUGUGAUUUGUUUUUGAAUGCUCAAUAAAUAUUUAU